rnacentral:rRNA from 1 species
GAUGAACGCUAGCGGCAGGCUUAACACAUGCAAGUCGAGGGGCAGCGAGGGUAGCAAUACCUGUCGGCGACCGGCGCAAGGGUGCGUAACGCGUGAGCAACAUGCCCGUAUCAGGGGGAUAAUCCAGGGAAACUUGGUCUAAUACCGCAUAAUAAUCAUUUGGGGCAUCUUGGAUGAUUUAAAAUUUCGAUGGAUACGGAUUGGCUCGCGUGACAUUAGCUGGAUGGUAGGGUAACGGCCUACCAUGGCUACGAUGUCUAGGGGUUCUGAGAGGAAGGUCCCCCACACUGGAACUGAGACACGGUCCAGACUCCUACGGGAGGCAGCAGUGAGGAAUAUUGGACAAUGGAUGGAAAUCUGAUCCAGCCAUGCCGCGUGCAGGAAGACGGCCCUAUGGGUUGUAAACUGCUUUUGUAUGGGAGCAAUAAGGGCUACGAGUAGCCUGAUGAGAGUACCAUACGAAUAAGGACCGGCUAACUCCGUG